rfam:Schistosoma mansoni strain Puerto Rico chromosome 1, complete genome
AUCCAGAUGACAAGUCCCAAAUAGCAUGGAACGCGCGUCCUGGAU